CCGGUAGCUCAGUAGGUAGAGCAAAGGACUGAAAAUCCUUGUGUCGGCGGUUCGAUCCCGCCUUG
rnacentral:tRNA from 1 species